UUUAAACAAUUUUACCAGAGAACGUUUUUUACCUCUUACAAUGAAUCCUGAUAUCACAUCUUCAAUAUUUUUAAGUUGUACUGCUGUUUCAUUGAAUUUAAAGCGUUUUUCAAAUCCCCUAGUAAAGAAGUAUAAAUACUGUCGCUGCACCGAAGCUAAAUAAGCAACGAAAAAAUUGUCAUCCAUGCCCUUAAUUUUUUUGUGGAAGGUCCUAAGGUCUAUAUUUUUGGUCGGGGAUCGUUUUUUCAACACCAACAAAAAAGUUAAUACGUAUAUCAAUCGGCUCAGCUUGUUUUAUGUAAAUUCAUGGUCUUCGCAAUGCGAUAACAUCGUAGCUCUUAGAAAAGCAAAAGAAAUCACUGCCCAGAGUCAACAUGAACACUGACUUGCAACCAAACGCUUCCAACAAGCCGAUAACGAAUCACAAUUUUUCGCAAAUAAGGGAAGGCGUUAAAACUCAAAAUUAAUGUCUUUUUUGUGUUACCUGGAGACGCUGUGCUGAUAAAUCACGUGAUCACAAAGUACCAGGUCACCUCGGUGAUCGAUUGUGCUCACCGGUGCAUGCGCGAGUCCAGGUGCGUUUCCUUCAACUUCGAGGAUCACGCUACAUCGCUAAGACACGUGUGCCAGAUCAAUGACGAGAAAAAGCAAAAGAACUUUGAAAACUUCAUUGGCCUGGAUGGGUUCAGUUACUAUGAGUUUGAGGUAAGUCGUCGAGGCGUCAAAAUAUGCACACCCUUUAAAAGACGUUACUUUAGGGCAAUGAUGCUGUAAUAUGCAUUACAGUAUAGCCGAAAACGUAGCCUCCGUGAAGAUGUCCCUCGUUUAUGCAUAACUCAUUAUAUCACUCUUUUAAUAGCUCAGUGGACUUAUAUGGUAAAAUUUAACAAAUCUAGACCAUUGUCAAUGAAAAUAUGUCUGUCUUUUACGUUUGACCCCGUCGAAAGUUUGCUUGUCCCUCUAAGCUUCUAGCAUUACUUGAAAGGCUUGCAAAUCGGGAACACAUACCAGAUGGAAUUGGAAUUUGUUGUGUUGGUUAUUGCGCGGAGGACGAAAAAGGUGAGAACCCAAAAGAAAAACAUCGGGCCAAGGACGAAAACCAACAAAAAUCUCAAACCAUGCACCGGUAUGACGCCGUGCGGGUUAACGAUUAGGACCCGAGCACCGACAGGGUAGGAGGCCAGCGAGUGCUCUCUCCACUGCGUCACUCCUUGGUUCCCGACAUACCUUGAACAAGCUUGCUGUUUAAUUCAAAAUAUGUAUUAACUAAGAUCAGAGCGGGAGACUCUAGUUCAAAUAUAACACCGAUGUUUCACUACGAGCACACGAGAGCUCAUCAUUACUCCUACCUCCAGUAAGAUCUAGGUGGCAUGUCUCAGCUGCAUAUGGUUUGAGGAAGCACGAGAAUUGACAUUAAAUUUCUGACGUUUGGGGUUAUAUCUUAGUAGCACGUAAUCUUCAAGUCCACAUGUAAGAAAAAAGACAAUCGACCGGUUACUGGAUCUUUCUUAUUUAUCUUCAUUCUCAGCAGCCUCUCGCAUGCGGUGUUGGUUCAUGUCAAAAUGGCGGCAUUUGCGUGGAGCAAUGUGACGGAAACCGCAAAUGUAUCUGUAAAGAAAGGUACACCGGAGCACACUGUGAAAACAUUCUCAGUACAGCAGAAACAUUACUCCUCCCUGUAACUGACGUGUCUUCUUGUAAGGAACUCUAUGACAAACAGGAAGAGAGUCGAGUGUUUCGACUGAUGUUUCGUGGGCAGACGAUCCCUGUUUAUUGUCACAUGGAAAACUUUGGAUGUGGAGAUGGAGGAUGGACACUAGCCAUGAAGAUUA
rnacentral:lncRNA from 1 species